rnacentral:lncRNA from 1 species
CGCAGGGCAGGACAGGGGCAGGGACGGGGCGGGACACGGGACAGGACAGGCGCAGGGGCAGGGCAGGGAUGCAGGGCAGGACAGGGAUGAGGGCAGGGACGUGGGGCAGGGACAGGGACGUGGGGCAGGGACAGGGACAUGGGGCAAGACAGGGACGGGGCAGGGACGUGGGGCAGGGCAGGGAGAGGGGCAGGGACGUGGGGCAGGACAGAGAGGGGCAGGGCAGGGGCAGGGACAGGGGCAGGGACACGGACAGGGCAGGGAUGCGGGGCAAGACAGGGAGGGGGCAGGGAUACGAGGCAGGACAAGGAGGGGGCAGGGACUCAGGGCAGGACAGGGCAGGGGCAGAGGCAGGACAGGGACGGUGCAGCCUCCGCUGCUGCCCUCUCGGGGAGCCUGGCUCCCACCCUCACCCAGCCACUGCUCCUGGGCACAGAGCUGAAGGGGAACUGGAGGCUGCGGCGUUCCUCUCUCCGUUCCCCUCUCUCUGGUGACUCGUGAUAACGAACCGACCUUUUGGAGACAUUCUGUGCCCUCAACAAAAGCGGCCCCUGUCUGGAAACCCCCCCGAGGGAGACUGACUUCCUCCCCUGCUGCCUGGGCUGCGGUAGCUCUUCCGGCACCUGCUCUUCAGGCACCUGCCCUGUGCUGGCCCCUCCUGCAACAAUCGGGAGCCCUCACCUCAGUCGGCGCUGCAGAACCAGCCCAGGAGAGCAGCUGGCCUGUCAUCUGCUGAGGAGCGGAGGCGUGCGGGGAUCCGGAGGGGAAGGGGGUCUGGAGUGCUCCGGGGGAGACCCUCAGGGACUGCCCUGCUGCUGGCAGCGCCUGGGCCCACGGCUGAUGGAGGCGUCUCCUGGCCCCCAGGGCUGUGCCCAGGACUGCAAUGGCCUCCCACACUACCUCACUACCCUGGUCCAGGCUCACUGACAGAUGAGGAAACUGAGGCAGGGGCCCCGGUCUCACGGCCAUUGGUGCAGAGCUGGGAUCCACGACCAGAUUCUACCAAUUAAAAAAAGGAAAUGUGGGCCGGGCGUGGUGGCUCAUGCCUGUGAUCCCAGCACUUUGGGAGGCCGAGGCAGGUGGAUCACCCAAGGUCAGGAGUUCAAGAGCAGCCUGGCCAACAGGGUGAAAUCCCAUCUCUCCUAAAAAAACAAAACAAAACAAAACAAAACAAAACAAAAACAGAAUUAGCCGGGCAUGGUGGUGGGCACCUGUAGUCCCAGCUACUGGGGAGGCUGAGGCAGAAGAAUCACAUAAACCCAGGAGG